rnacentral:ncRNA from 1 species
AUAAAGGCUAUGAAGAGGAAGAGUAGGCAAUAUUAUAAUUCAAAGAGAGUUGAUUUAAGGUGAGAUGUCAACAAUAUGAAUUGCAGAAGGCAGCCUCUGAGUUUCUUAUCGAGAAAUAAGAAUUUUUUAAUUCAAAGAAUAGAGAAAGACGUGUCCUCACGUUACAGAGGAAAGGGAUAAAAAAUCCCUUACUAAGAGAGAAUAGAAAUAUUCUAAUUAGGGUGGUACCGCGAAUAACAUUUUCGUCCCUUAC